AGGAGAAGAAUAUUAUAUUCAUUGUAUAAUUAAAUAUUGUAUAAGGAUUAGCAGAGAAUGAAUCGAUGUGUGUGUACGUGAGUGUGUAUGUGUAUGCACGUGUCAUUGUAUCUACGUAGCAGCGGUGUUUACUUCUCAACGUUCAGCUGCGGAGAAUGUUUCGAGGCAAUUUGAAUUGAGCAUUCGAUACGCAGAUCUCGGCGUGUUCUGACAUAAUAAGUAUUAUAUUUGCAACAGACGCAGAAAAAUGAAGUUUUCUUCCCUUCUCAACACGUUGUAUCAUUUCUACGCAAACCUGGAGUAUGUCAUGGCAGAUAAUCAGAAGGAGGCUGGGUUUGCUGUCGUGGUUCAAAGAGCUCCAUUAAGACUCCAUUAGAGGCGUUGCGGAAGAAGUCCUUCGUGUUACGGGAAGUUACGUCAGCGUUGCACGUUGCAAAAUGUCGAUCGGCCUGGGGGUUAUCGUAGCUCGAAUACUUUCAGAUAUCCACGGCGAGGGUCGAAAGUCGUUCAUUUCCCAAUACGAUCAGGCCACGCCGAGCAGAUACGAGUAUACGGUUUAAUACGACCACGUAAAUGUCUGUGUUGUUUAUGGACAUACAAACAGUGAGACAUGGCGAAUGUACGGUAUAGAGCUUGCAAGAGAAUAUUCCUCGCGACGUAGCAGGAAACCACUUCGUAUCACGAAGUUACCUUUCAAAUAGUUGGAAGAAAUUACAGGAGGAUAUUUUUGAACGUAGGGAAACGUUGAGUAUUUUAAACAGUUGUUGAAGUGGAGGAUAAUGCAUCGAGGAUUCCGAACGAGGCUGAACGACUUUACGGAGCAGAUAAUAUUGAACUAAAUGGGAAAAGAGGUUUUUAGAAAGGUAAGUUCUAAAAAUAAUUUUUACCGAGCAAAUAGCUUUUUUACGUUCGGUCUCUUUAAAUGAAUAAUCGAACGAUAAUUUCAAAGUAGAGCAGCAUAUGGUCCCAAUUGAAGAAAGUAACAAUUAUUUUAAGUUUUCUUCGAGGAGCUUGAAGCUUCUUUAAAAAUAACCUCUUCUCAUUUAUUUAUUUGGUUCACGUCAUAUGAAACUCGCAUAUUUUAAGCGAUAAUGAGGUCAGAAUGCACAUGUAGAUCGAAGUAACAUUCUUAAAUAAUUUAAAACUUCUCAAACUGCGAGAUUAAAGGCACGAGCAAUAAAGAAAAAUUUGUUCUAAGGCAGAAAGGAUUAGAGUUAAAAUAUAAAGCAAUUUAGCCUCAGUAUUCUUUUGAAUAUAACAUCGCUUGGCUGCAACAAUUCUCCAGAUAGAACUGUCUUGAAUUAUUUCGAUUGGAGUCGUUCUCUGGACGCGAAUUUCACUGGAGACGUUGUCGUGGAAAUAUCCUGCUUCUGCAUUCAAUUGCAUGUGAU